rnacentral:tRNA from 1 species
AAGGAAUGGCUGAGCGGUUUAAGGCGGCAGACUGUAAAUCUGUUGAGUGAUCUCAUCGAAGGUUCGAAUCCUUCUUCCUUCA